UUGAAAUAGCAUGACGAGUUGUCGCUGGCCUUUUCUUUGACCGUGCACGCUCUGUCGUCCUUCAUUUCUCCAUCUAUUUGUGCACCUCUUGCGUAGACCUUUUCUGAGGGCUUCCUCGGGUCGUUAGGACUGCUUUGCAAAAAAAAAAUGAAUUUGUGGGCUUUCCUUGUCGCUACCACACAUACACCAGUGUAAUUGUUUAGAAGGAAAUGGAAUUUGAUGCAUAAUA
rnacentral:misc_RNA from 1 species